GACGAACGCUGGCGGCGUGCCUAAUACAUGCAAGUAGAACGCACAGUUUAUACCGUAGCUUGCUACACCAUAAACUGUGAGUUGCGAACGGGUGAGUAACGCGUAGGUAACCUGCCUGGUAGCGGGGGAUAACUAUUGGAAACGAUAGCUAAUACCGCAUAAUAUUGAUUAUUGCAUGAUAAUUGAUUGAAAGAUGCUAUUGCAUCACUACCAGAUGGACCUGCGUUGUAUUAGCUAGUAGGUGAGGUAACGGCUCACCUAGGCGACGAUACAUAGCCGACCUGAGAGGGUGAUCGGCCACACUGGGACUGAGACACGGCCCAGACUCCUACGGGAGGCAGCAGUAGGGAAUCUUCGGCAAUGGACGGAAGUCUGACCGAGCAACGCCGCGUGAGUGAAGAAGGUUUUCGGAUCGUAAAGCUCUGUUGUAAGAGAAGAACGAGUGUGAGAGUGGAAAGUUCACACUGUGACGGUAUCUACCAGAAAG
rnacentral:rRNA from 1 species